GCACUCGUAGCUCAGCUGGAUAGAGCACCGCCCUCCGAAGGCGGGGGUCGGAGGUUCGAAUCCUCCCGAGUGCGCCA
rnacentral:tRNA from 1 species